UACGAAGGGGGCUAGCGUUGCUCGGAAUCACUGGGCGUAAAGCGCACGUAGGCGGAUUGCUAAGUCAGGGGUGAAAGCCUGGAGCUCAACUCCAGAACUGCCUUUGAUACUGGCGAUCUUGAGUCCGGGAGAGGUGAGUGGAACUGCGAGUGUAGAGGUGAAAUUCGUAGAUAUUCGCAAGAACACCAGUGGCGAAGGCGGCUCACUGGCCCGGUACUGACGCUGAGGUGCGAAAGCGUGGGGAGCAAACAGG
rnacentral:rRNA from 1 species